rnacentral:ribozyme from 1 species
UCGACUACAAGGAGAACUGCCUCAAGUUCGUCGACGACCCCAACGCCGCCCUCGAAAUUCGAGAACACAGCC